AAGGAAUAUUGGUCAAUGCCCGCAAGGGUGAACCAGCCAUUCCGCGUGGAGGAUGAAGGCCCUAUGGGUUGUAAACUUCUUUUAGAUGGGAAGAAAAUGCUUUGUUUACAAGGUACUGACGGUACCAUCAGAAUAAGCACCGGCUAACUCCGUGCCAGCAGCCGCGGUAAUACGGAGGGUGCGAGCGUUAUCCGGAAUUACUGGGUUUAAAGGGUGCGUAGGCGGAUGAUUAAGUCUAAGGUGAAAGUCUGUCGCUUAACGAUAGAAUUGCCUUGGAUACUGGUUAUCUUGAAUAGGGAUGAGGAUAGCGGAAUGUGGCAUGUAGCGGUGAAAUGCAUAGAUAUGCCAUAGAACACCAAUUGCGAAGGCAGCUAUCUGGUCUUUUAUUGACGCUGAGGCACGAAAGCGUGGGGAUCGAAC
rnacentral:rRNA from 1 species